GAAAUGCGAUAAGUAAUGUGAAUUGCAGAAUUCAGUGAAUCAUCGAAUUUUUGAACGCAUAUUGCGCCCUUUGGCAUUCCGAAGGGCAUACCUGUUCGAGCGUCAUUACACCCCUCAAACCUCGGUUUGUUGUUGGGCACUGCUGCAAGGGCAUGCCUAAAAAUUAGCGAUGGUAACCUUCAACCACAGGCGCACAAAUGUCGCAAUGAUGGAAGAUGGGCACCAGUCUUAACUAAAUUUUUUAAUGUUGACCUCGGAUCAGGUAGGGAUACCCGCUGAACUUAA
rnacentral:misc_RNA from 1 species